rnacentral:rRNA from 1 species
GAAUUUUAUAUAUUGUAAGUUAAAAAUAGAGUUUAAUAGAUAAUUUAGAGUAUAUUUAGUUGGGGGGAUUGUUAAAUUAAAUGAACUUAAAUUAGGGCGGGGAUAUAGAUUAAUAGAGUAAAAAAGAAUGAUUAAUAAAUUAAAUAAGAAUUAAUUACCUUAGGGAUAACAGCGUAAUAUUAUUGGAGAGAUCUUAUUGAUAAUAGUGAUUGC